ACACUGAGGCACGUGAAUGAUGGAUUCCC
rnacentral:sRNA from 1 species